rnacentral:lncRNA from 10 species
AGAAUGUCACAUAAAUGGAAUCAUACUGUGUCCGGAAUUGGUGGGUUCUUGGUCUCACUGACUUCAAGAAUGACGCCAUGGGCCCUCGCGGUGAGUGUUACAGCUCUUAAGGUGGCGCGUCUGGAGUUUGUUCCUUCUGAUGUUCGGAUGUGUUCGGAGUUUCUUCCUUCUGGUGGGUUCGUGGUCUCGCUGGCUCAGGAGUGAAGCUGCAGACUUUCGCGAUUUCAUCUCUCUCUCUGCUAUGGACACAGAUGGCUUCACUCCAUCCUGUAUUCUUCGGACCAUGAUAAAAUUCCAGACUCUCGGUAGUUUUUGCGUUCCAAGAAGUAGAGCCUAGAGUGGUGGCCUAUAAUUACAGUUACUCAGGAGGCUGAGGCAGGAGGAUCCUUUGAGUCCAGCAGUUUGAGGCCAGCCUGGACACCACAGCAAGACCACCAAUAAAUAAAUAAAUAAAUGGAACAUGUUUCCCUGUCAUGG